CCUACGGGGAGCUGCAGUGGGGAAUAUUGGACAAUGGGCGAAAGCCUGAUCCAGCCAUGCCGCGUGUGUGAAGAAGGCCUUCGGGUUGUAAAGCACUUUCAGUGGGGAAGAAAGCCUUGGGGCUAAUACCCUCGAGGAAGGACAUCACCCACAGAAGAAGCACCGGCUAACUCCGUGCCAGCAGCCGCGGUAAUACGGAGGGUGCGAGCGUUAAUCGGAAUUACUGGGCGUAAAGCGCGCGUAGGCGGUCUGAUAAGCCGGUUGUGAAAGCCCCGGGCUCAACCUGGGAACGGCAUCCGGAACUGUCAGGCUAGAGUGCAGGAGAGGAAGGUAGAAUUCCCGGUGUAGCGGUGAAAUGCGUAGAGAUCGGGAGGAAUACCAGUGGCGAAGGCGGCCUUCUGGACUGACACUGACGCUGAGGUGCGAAAGCGUGGGUAGCAAACAGGAUUAGAUCCCCGGUAGUC
rnacentral:rRNA from 1 species